AACGAUGAAACUUAAAAGAUUUCUUCGGAAUGACCUUAAGUGGAUUAGUGGCGAACGGGUGAGUAACGCGUGAGUAACCUACCUUACACAAGGGGAUAGCCUCUGGAAACGGAGAAUAAUACCCUAUGAAACUAUCUUAUCGCAUGAAAAGAUGGUCAAAGUGUUUUAGCGGUGUAAGAUGGACUUGCGUCUGAUUAGCUAGUUGGUGAGAUAACAGCCCACCAAGGCAACGAUCAGUAGCCGGCUUGAGAGAGUGUACGGCCACAUUGGGACUGAGACACGGCCCAGACUCCUACGGGAGGCAGCAGUGGGGAAUUUUGCACAAUGGGGGCAACCCUGAUGCAGCGACGCCGCGUGAUUUAGAAGGCCUUCGGGUUGUAAAAAUCUUUUGUAUAGGAAGAAAAUGACAGUACUAUACGAAUAAGGUCCGGCUAAUUACGUGCCAGCAGCCGCGGUAAUACGUAAGGACCGAGCGUUGUCCGGAAUCAUUGGGCGUAAAGGGUACGUAGGCGGUUAGAAAAGUUAGAAGUGAAAGGCUAUAGCUCAACUAUAGUAAGCUUUUAAAACUGUUUAACUUGAGAGAUGGAAGGGAAAGUGGAAUUCCUAGUGUAGCGGUGAAAUGCGCAGAUAUUAGGAGGAAUACCGGUGGCGAAGGCGACUUUCUGGCCAUUAUCUGACGCUGAGGUACGAAAGCGUGGGUAGCAAACAGGAUUAGAUACCCUGGU
rnacentral:rRNA from 1 species